CCUACGGGUGGCAGCAGUGGGGAAUAUUGCACAAUGGGGGAAACCCUGAUGCAGCGACGCCGCGUGAGGGAAGAAGUAUUUCGGUAUGUAAAGCUCCAUCAGCAGGGAAGAAAAUGACGGUACCUGACUAAGAAGCCCCGUCUAACUACGUGCCAGCAGCCGCGGUAAUACGUAGGGGGCAAGCGUUAUCCGGAUUUACUGGGUGUAAAGGGAGCGUAGACGGCCAGCCAAGUCAGAAGUGAAAGCCCAUGGCUCAACCCUGGGACUGCUUUUGAAACCGGCGGGCUGGAGUGGAGGAGAGGUAUGCGGAAUUCGUAGUGUAGCGGUGAAAUGCGUAGAUAUUAGGAGGAACGCCGGUGGCGAAGGCAGCUUACUGGCGUGUAACUGACGCUGAGGCUCGAAAGCGUGGGGAGCGAACAGGAUUAGAUACCCCAGUAGUC
rnacentral:rRNA from 1 species